GCUGUCUCCUUGCCAACCAGCAGCUCCCUUGGUAGGGGCAUGCAGAAGACCUGAUGACACAAACCCUCCAAAGAGUUUCACCCUCACCACAACAGGUGGCUUCCUGCUCGGCAGCCCAUCCUGCAUCACUUCAGUGGACUUCUCUGACAUCUACUAGACCACAUUAAAUGAAUCACAGCCUUGAAACUGAACUGGAAGGACUUCCUUCAAGGAGCCAGCAUAUGAACUUGCUGCCUAUCUUUAGCAAGGAGAUGCAAAUGACAUCCACAAACCUCUUCUGCUGUAUACCUGGAUGAAAGCAAGGCUAGCUGUGUGUCCUAUGGCACCAAGGACUGAAAGAUUGUAAGAAGUAAGAUGACCUACAUCCAAAGUGAAAAGUUAUUCAGCCUCUGAAGAGAAGCAUUUUGUUUGGGGAUCUUCAAGUAUGCUUGUCAGCACCGAGAACUGGAAAAAAAUCUCUGAUUGUCCUGCAGCAAUGGCAUUAAAGGCUCCUCAUAACAUACAGAACCAGAAUUGUGCCAUAAUUUACUGAAAUUGAACAUUGCUCUGUGACUGCUAAUUUUCCAUCGAGAUGAUUCUGUCUCUAACCAAGAAAAGAAAAGUUUGUCUUCCUGACUGCUGACACUGCUGACCAAGCCCACCACCAGAUGCCUGGCUGCACACCCAGAGGGCAGCCGCUUCCCGUGGUCCUCUCGAAGAACUUCCCUUUUGCAAUGCAUGUUUAGCAAGUGGAUGAGUUUGUCUUUUCUGAUUUCUCUGCAAGCUCUGCAUUGCCCACCUGAACCAGUGCUUCAGAAGAACUAAUGGGAUCUCUGACCCUCCAACAUCCUCUUCCAGACUUUCACUUUCCUGGCUCCUUGCAGGGACAUGUAAUAAACGUGCUCUCCAGAGAAAGCC
rnacentral:lncRNA from 1 species